ACCUCACAUUACAGCCAGCAGGGAGCAACGGCUGUCCCCCCUACUCACAGCUGCACAGGAUCUGAGCAGCAGUGGCACAGACCCAGAACCCAGUCGUUUCCAGGGCUUUAAGCGUGGUCCGACGAAUGAGAUGGUGGUGUUGUCAGCUAGGCCCAAAGAGAGAACAUUGGCCGAAGGGAUCAGCUGCAUAUGAAUUCUCUAGCAACAUCAGAGGCCAUGGCGCACCACAUUGAGAAAACAGCACACUGAAGGAAUGGCAUCUACUAAGAAAGCC